CGGCUUCUGUAUGACCCUCUCAUCGAUGGUGUGCAUUCCCGCAGGAGCGAUCUACUCCAUCUUCUACCACAUGAUCAAAGGUGAAGGGCCCACUAUGACGAGGCUGAAAAUGGUUAUCCAACCCACUAUCGUUCCUGUUCGUGAUGAAGUACAUGUAGAACCAGCUGGUGUGGAAAUGACCUAAUAUCAUAAGAGUCAAUUAAAAAAAAAAUUAUGUAAUAGUGGAAAAGAUUGAAAAAAUAAUCACUUGCAGUUUCGAAGUCGUAUGCUAUCUCUUAAAUGAUACGGAAUUAUAUAAAUACUUUAAAUUGUUUAAUUUUCUUCGGUUUCAAUUUAUAUUUGAUGAAAAUUCCAAGUCAUUGGAUCGCAAAUUUUAAUAAUAGGCCUAUUCAAUUUUACCUCAAUAAAACAUUGUGAUUUUGAAAUAUAUUGGGCAGAAUUCGUAAAAGAACAAAAGCAGUUCAAUAAUUAUGCCUUUUUUUUUUUCCUCCUCAAAAUUAUUAUGGUAGCUUGGCUUACAGUAUAUAAUUAUAAGUUAUAAUUUUUUUAAUGAGCUAACGUUUAAUGUUGUCCAAAAUUAAUACUUCUUUCGACUUUCUAUAUCUCGCGAACGAGGAGCAAUUUUGACACCAUCACGAUAUAGCCAAAUGUAGGCCUGUAGCUUGAUUAUUACCAUAUCAUGUCGAAUUUGUAGUAUACCUUUUUUUACAUUCUCAUAUACUUGAAAUGCCUAUAUCAUGAAAAACAUGAAUUGGUGCGUGGGUGCGUGGGUGAGUGUGCAUGUUGUAAGUAUUUCUACAAUAUUAUUACACGAAGGUUUUGAUUCAUUUUAAAAGUAUUUAAAAACAAUUAAGGUUAUUAAUAUGUCAUAUUCUCUUUCUCUCUGAUGUCAUGUGUUCUACUCUCACCUUCAAUUGAAAUGCAUGUACAGUACUAUGAUAUAAUUUACUCACUUUUAAUUAUUUUAAUCUACUAAUUUUAAGUGUACUAAAAUUGGGAUUAGCCUUGACUGUCCGAUUGCUUUUGCUAAUCCGUCACCUCUACUAUAAUCAAUCCUUUUUGUAUUUCUCAUGUCAGCUAUAUAUGUAUGUGUAUGUGUUCUUUUGCCAUAUGUCGUUUCGUAUAUUUACUUCAAAUUGCUUUAUUUCGUUGGUAUUAUAUAUUUUUAAAGAAAUAAUCAAAUAAACUGAAUUGAAAAAUGUUGUGGACUGAAAUUUAUUUGAGAUUUAAACUUGAUAUAUAUCUAAUCAUGCUUACGCUUUCCUUGGAUGGUGGAUUUUCAUUUAUAACUGGGCCUUUACAAAACCUAACUGAGCUAUAAUUAUAGCUGCAAGGUAAGUGGCAUUGGCUAUAUACAUAACUUAAGUAAUUCAUAGUACUGGCCCUGGUGCAUCAGUAGGCAUUUGGUGUCUGACAUGGAAAAUGUUCACAAUGUCAUCAAAUAAUUUCCCUUCAAAUUAAUGGUCGCACAUCAAAAGUAUGAAAUAAUUAUUCUUGUGUUUAUAUAUAAAAUGAUAAACUCUGAUUUAUGGAAUAACCUGUAAAUCAACCCAAGGCCAAUUUCGAUACAUCCCAUUAAAAAA
rnacentral:lncRNA from 1 species